GAUGAACGCUGGCGGCGUGCCUAAUACAUGCAAGUCGAGCGAACAGACGAGGAGCUUGCUCCUCUGACGUUAGUGGCGGACGGGUGAGUAACACGUGGAUAACCUACCUAUAAGACUGGGAUAACUUCGGGAAACCGGAGCUAAUACCGGAUAAUAUAUUGAACCGCAUGGUUCAAUAGUGAAAGACGGUUUUGCUGUCACUUAUAGAUGGAUCCGCGCCGCAUUAGCUAGUUGGUAAGGUAACGGCUUACCAAGGCAACGAUGCGUAGCCGACCUGAGAGGGUGAUAGGCCACACUGGAACUGAGACACGGUCCAGACUCCUACGGGAGGCAGCAGUAGGGAAUCUUCCGCAAUGGGCGAAAGCCUGACGGAGCAACGCCGCGUGAGUGAUGAAGGUCUUCGGAUCGUAAAACUCUGUUAUUAGGGAAGAACAAAUGUGUAAGUAACUAUGCACGUCUUGACGGUACCUAAUCAGAAAGCCACGGCUAACUACGUG
rnacentral:rRNA from 1 species